GACGAACGCUGGCGGCGUGCUUAACACAUGCAAGUCGAACGGAAAGGCCCUGCUUUUGUGGGGUGCUCGAGUGGCGAACGGGUGAGUAACACGUGAGUAACCUGCCCUUGACUUUGGGAUAACUUCAGGAAACUGGGGCUAAUACCGGAUAGGAGCUCCUGCUGCAUGGUGGUGGUUGGAAAGUUUCGGCGGUUGGGGAUGGACUCGCGGCUUAUCAGCUUGUUGGUGGGGUAGUGGCUUACCAAGGCUUUGACGGGUAGCCGGCCUGAGAGGGUUACCGGCCACAUUGGGACUGAGAUACGGCCCAGACUCCUACGGGAGGCAGCAGUGGGGAAUAUUGCACAAUGGGCGGAAGCCUGAUGCAGCAACGCCGCGUGCGGGAUGACGGCCUUCGGGUUGUAAACCGCUUUCGCCUGUGACGAAGCGUGAGUGACGGUAAUGGGUAAAGAAGCACCGGCUAACUACGUG
rnacentral:rRNA from 1 species